CGCGAGGUGGAAUCUGAAGGCAAAACACCGGUCCGACGAACAGAAAUCAGAUACGAGGCGCUUGUGAGGAAUGAGGAGGCAAAUAUCUUCAAAGUCCAAAACUUGUCCGGAGCUCAUAGACGUAGAUCUGGCGGAUAUUAGUGGAG
rnacentral:ncRNA from 1 species